ACCAGUGACCAAAAGAGGGAACUGCAGCAGAUGAGCCGCGAUCAGGGGUUUUGGCCAGGUCUCGUUAAGAAACAAGUGACAAACCCAGAUCAAGCCAGCUGGAGCGAGAAGGGACAGCUCUGCGCAGCAGCUGCCAAGCGCAAGAGGGCCGCGCCCCCGCGCCAGAGCUUGUUCUUCUCUCCACUUUUUGACUCUCCUUGGGUCUAAUUCUUUCCCAUCAUAGAUGUAAAGGCCUUCAGAAAUGCCAGGGAAGUGUGACUUCCUCCCCUCAGGCUCACGGCUCUGCCCACAGGAGACCCUAACUGACCUUGGACCACACCAGCGCUGAGGGAGGAAGCGGCCGGAGAAGGUCUGCGUGAACCAGGGGUGGUGGCUGGGAGAGAGGCCCCCGAAACGCCAGAAGCUGGGUGGGGCUGCGCAAGCAUGAAAGAAUCUUGACACUCAGGGAUCGUGAUGAUUAACGUUCUGGCCUCUUACCUUGGACACACAUACACACAUUCUGCGGCCUGUGGAGUGAAGUGACACCACCCUGGAGGUACCCUUGUGCCAGUGAAGUGGUCACAAAAUGUUUGGAAACAGUACCUGUUUGCCUCAUCUGCAAAAUGGGGAUGAGAUGAAAAUACUAAGGACCUCACAUGGUUGUCUGGAGGACCACGCGUAUGCUUAGCUCUUAUCAUACGGCCCCUCGG